rnacentral:rRNA from 1 species
UACGGGGGGGGUAAGCGUUGUUCGGAAUUACUGGGAGUAAAGGGCUCGUAGGCGGCCAACUAAGUCAGACGUGAAAUCCCUCAGCUUAACUGGGGAACUGCGUCUGAUACUGGAUGGCUUGGAUUCGGGAGAGGAAUGCGGAAUUCCAGGUGUAGCGGUGAAAUGCGUAGAUAUCUGGAGGAACACCGGUGGCGAAGGCGGCAUUCUGGACCGACAUUGACGCUGAGGAGCGAAAGCCAGGGGAGCAAACGGG